AGACCCAGACCUGGCAUUUUCAGGUGUUUUCAUUUGGUGAUCAGGACGGAACACAGAGGACGCACCAUGGAGUUUGGGCUGAGCUGGGUUUUUCUUGUUGCUAUUUUAAAAGGUGUCCAGUGUGAGGUGCAGUUGGUGGAGUCUGGGGGAGGCUUGGUACAGCCUGGGGGGUCCCUGAGACUCUUCUGUGCAGCCUCUGGAUUCAUCUUCAGUGACUACUACAUGGACUGGGUCCGCCAGGCUCCAGGGAAGGGCCUGGAAUGGGUCUCACGUAUUAGUAGUGGCAGUGGUGGUAGCACAUAAUACCCAGACUCUGUCAAGGGCCGAUUCACCAUCUCCAGAGACAAUUCCAAGAACACGUUGUAUCUGCAAAUGAACAACCUGAGAGCUGAGGGCACGGCUGUGUAUUACUGUGCG